UACGGGGGGAGCAAGCGUUGUUCGGAUUUACUGGGCGUAAAGGGCGCGUAAGCGGCACCGCAAGUCGACUGUGAAAUCUCCGGGCUUAACCCGGAAAGGUCAGCCGAUACUGCGGGGCUAGAGUGCAGAAGGGGCAACUGGAAUUCUCGGUGUAGCGGUGAAAUGCGUAGAUAUCGAGAGGAACACCUGCGGCGAAGACGGGUUGCUGGGCUGACACUGACGCUGAGGCGCGAAAGCCAGAGGAGCAAACGGG
rnacentral:rRNA from 1 species